rnacentral:tRNA from 1 species
GGCGUGGUGGCUGAGUGGUAAAGCGUUUGGCUUUCAAACUGAGGGGUCCCAGGUUUGAAUCCUGGUGAAGACU